rnacentral:rRNA from 1 species
GCAAGUCGAGCGAGCUGAAUUCAAAGAUUCCUUCGGGAUGAUUUGUUGGAUGCUAGCGGCGGAUGGGUGAGUAACACGUGGGCAAUCUGCCCUAAAGACUGGGAUACCACUUGGAAACAGGUGCUAAUACCGGAUAACAACAUGAAUCGCAUGAUUCAAGUUUGAAAGGCGGCGUAAGCUGUCACUUUAGGAUGAGCCCGCGGCGCAUUAGCUAGUUGGUGGGGUAAAGGCCUACCAAGGCAAUGAUGCGUAGCCGAGUUGAGAGACUGAUC